CCUACGGGAGGCAGCAGUGGGGAAUAUUGGGCAAUGGGCGCAAGCCUGACCCAGCAACGCCGCGUGAAGGAAGAAGGCUUUCGGGUUGUAAACUUCUUUUCUCAGGGACGAAGCAAGUGACGGUACCUGAGGAAUAAGCCACGGCUAACUACGUGCCAGCAGCCGCGGUCAUACGUAGGUGGCAAGCGUUAUCCGGAUUUACUGGGUGUAAAGGGCGUGUUGGCGGGACUGCAAGUCAGAUGUGAAAACCACGGGCUCAACCUGUGGCCUGCAUUUGAAACUGUAGUUCUUGAGUACUGGAGAGGCAGACGGAAUUCCUAGUGUAGCGGUGAAAUGCGUAGAUAUUAGGAGGAACACCAGUGGCGAAGGCGGUCUGCUGGACAGCAACUGACGCUGAGGCGCGAAAGCGUGGGGAGCAAACAGGAUUAGAUACCCCAGUAGUC
rnacentral:rRNA from 1 species